rnacentral:sRNA from 1 species
UUGGGUCUUAUAUUAAAAACAGCCGAGUAGUGGUGAAAUUAAAUUAAGUGGUAAAGAAAAUUAUUUUAAUGAGAGCAGUCUUUCAAUAGCAGGUCUGGUUGGUUAUUGAUGGCUCCUGCAGACAAUAAUGAUGUUAAAAUCUGCUUGGGCUUAGAAUCAGCAAACAAAUCAUUUGCCUAACUGGAGAUAACAAGAGUAAUCCACAGACUUAAAACAUGAGCUCAGAUGCCAGCCAAGGUGUGAUUACCACUCCUCCUCCUCCCAGCAUGCCUCACAAAGAGAGAUAUUUUGACCGCAUCAAUGAAAAUGACCCAGAAUACAUUAGGGAGAGGAACAUGUCUCCUGAUCUACGACAAGACUUCAACAUGAUGGAGCAGAGGAAACGAGUUACUCAGAUCCUGCAAAGUCCUGCCUUUCGGGAAGACUUGGAAUGCCUUAUUCAAGAACAGAUGAAGAAAGGCCACAACCCAACUGGAUUACUAGCAUUACAGCAGAUUGCAGAUUACAUCAUGGCCAAUUCUUUCUCGGGUUUUUCUUCACCUCCUCUCAGUCUUGGCAUGGUCACACCUAUCAAUGACCUUCCUGGUGCAGAUACAUCCUCAUAUGUGAAGGGAGAAAAACUUACUCGCUGUAAACUUGCCAGCCUGUACAGACUUGUAGACUUGUUUGGAUGGGCACACCUGGCAAAUACCUAUAUCUCAGUAAGAAUAAGUAAGGAGCAAGACCACAUUAUAAUAAUUCCCAGAGGCCUAUCUUUUUCUG